rnacentral:rRNA from 1 species
CUUCUUUGCUGGCGACCGGCGCACGGGUGAGUAACACGUAUCCAACCUGCCCUUUACUCGGGGAUAGCCUUUCGAAAGAAAGAUUAAUACCCGAUAGCAUAAUGAUUCCGCAUGGUUUCAUUAUUAAAGGAUUCCGGUAAAGGAUGGGGAUGCGUUCCAUUAGGUUGUUGGUGAGGUAACGGCCCACCAAGCCUUCGAUGGAUAGGGGUUCUGAGAGGAAGGUCCCCCACAUUGGAACUGAGACACGGUCCAA